GACGAACGCUGGCGGCGUGCCUAAUACAUGCCAGUCGAACGCACAGUUUAUACCGUAGCUUGCUACACCAUAGACUGUGAGUUGCGAACGGGUGAGUAACGCGUAGGUAACCUGCCUGGUAGCGGGGGAUAACUAUUGGAAACGAUAGCUAAUACCGCAUAAUAUUAAUUAUUGCAUGGUAAUUAAUUGAAAGGUGCAAUUGCACCACUACCAGAUGGACCUUCGUUGUAUUAGCUAGUAGGUGAGGUAACGGCUCAACUAGGGGACGAUAAAUAGCCGACCUGAGAGGGUGGGCGGCCAAACUGGGACUGAGACACGGCCCAGACUCCCUCAGGAGGGAGCAGGAGGGAAUCUUCGGCAAUGGACGAAAGACUGACCGCACAACGCCGCGUGAGUGAAGAAGGGUUUCGGGUCGUAAAGCACUGUUGUAAGGGAAGAACGGGUGUGAGAGUGGAAAGUUCACACUGUGACGGUAUCUUACCAGAAAGGGACGGCUAACUACGUG
rnacentral:rRNA from 1 species